UACGGAGGAUGCAAGCGUUAUCCGGAUUUAUUAGGUUUAAAGGGUGCGUAGGCGGAAUAGUCAGUCAGUGGUGAAAUCCUACAGCUUAACUGUAGAACUGCCAUUGAUACUUCUAUUCUUGAGUUCAGUUGAGGUAGGCGGAAUGUGUAGUGUAGCGGUGAAAUGCUUAGAUAUUACACAGAACACCGAUUGCGAAGGCAGCUUACUAAACUGACACUGACGCUGAGGCACGAAAGCGUGGGGAGCGAACAGGAUUAGAUACCCCCGUA
rnacentral:rRNA from 1 species